CAGCACAGGUGGAGGGCAGUGUCUGAGGGCCUCAUGGGUCCUGGACCUGACUCCUGCACCUGCACAUGGGACAGGACACCUGCAAUAAGAGGGAACAUCCUGAUUCUCCUCAGAGAUGGCCAGGACUCCAGAGUUCAGGUUCUCACAUGUUGUGUGGCUUUUGGGCUAAAACACACCUGAAACACUGAGUGGCUGUUGUCCUUGAUCACUUGAUCAUCAUCUGCAUUUUGGUUGAUGCAUUUUUUUACCUCAUUUGAAUAAAAUAAAAGAAAUUAAUUGAC
rnacentral:lncRNA from 1 species